CUUCAACAUUUUCACGAGAGUUCCCCUCAUCGCCUGAUACUUGCUUUAACCUGAGUAUUUGACAAGGUGAGCAAAGUUUCAGGUGUGUGGGUGGAGCGGAGUUUCGCUCAAUCAUCGC
rnacentral:precursor_RNA from 12 species